rnacentral:rRNA from 1 species
UGGGUAACCUGCCUCAUAGAGGGGAAUAGCCUUUCGAAAGGAAGAUUAAUACCGCAUAAGAUUGUAACUUCGCAUGAAGUAGCAAUUAAAGGAGUAAUCCGCUAUGAGAUGGACCCGCGUCGCAUUAGCUAGUUGGUGAGGUAACGGCUCACCAAGGCGACGAUGCGUAGCCGACCUGAGAGGGUGAUCGGCCACAUUGGGACUGAGACACGGCCCAGCUCCGUAGGG